UAAAAAAAAUCUUCCUUUUUUAACCGUCUUUAAAAAUACUGCAGGAAUGAAAAUUAUACGUGACGUUAAAGAGUUGUAACGUUAAAAAGAUGAUAUUGCUUAAAAUUGUUUAAUUAUUGGUACUUGAAUCUGACUUUAAACCGGUUUAACACAAACAUACAAUUACAAUAAUCAAUACCAGGGUACAUGUAUCAUGCUGGAAAAUUACGAAUGUGUCAGACGAAUUAUUUUGUUUUUUCAUAGAAGAUAAACAAAAUCAUCGAGCUUUGCAGAACGAUGAAUCAGACUGACUGAAUGACACUAAGUUUUGCAAAAUGGAUAUAUCCCUAACUUCCAUGGCUAACUUCAAUGGAGAGGACAGAGUAAUGGCAAAAAGAGGAUCAUUUUAAAGAGAGGAGGAAGAGGGAUAUGUAAAGAGUGUUCUGAGGCCAGGAUAUCAGCAGUGCGUUCAGUCAGACGAGCGUUUACAAAACGCUCGCAAACAUUUUGUUUUGUAUCUCUGUUGCAACGCAGCGCAUAUACGUUAAGCGGGAAACGAAACAGCAAACGUUCGCCGCAAACAUCUUUACUGAACGCGUUGCAGAUUCACGAUGGGGGAGGGGGGCGGUGGAACAAUUUUUGAGAAUUAUUGACAUACAUGUGUAUAAACAUAUAUAUAUAUAUAUCAUGGUAGGAACUGUUUGCCUUGUCAACUGUGACUUAAAUAUUUAGUUCUUGUGUCAGCCUGUGCUUAUCUCAAAUAUUUAAUGACAUUUUUUUGGUUUGUUUGAUAGACAUGAUAAUUAUAUAACUAUUAAAUAUGAAUGGCAACAAUUAUAGAUAAAACAUUGUAACUCAUGUUAACUUUAUAAUAGAUAAUUAAUUGUUUAUAUGCAAUAUAUAUUUAAGGAUGCAUAUUUCUUUUAUUCUUGAAUCUAUUUUUUGUGGGUUUUUUCAUAUAUUGAAAAUAUUUUUCAUGAAUGUGGGUUUUUAAUUCAUUGUCAGUCUCAGAAGAAUUAAACAACUUGUGUUGAAUUUAUUUGCUAGACUGAAACUAGGCUGUUAAUAUUGGUCAGACUAAUUAAAUCAGAGAAUAAUAUGUACAACUAAUCGGAUUACUGACCAAUAGAGUGAAUUUAGUCAAUGAUGUAUGACCCUAAGAUUAAGAUUGACUUAAAGCUGCACUCUCACAGAUUGAAGUGAACUUCUUUAUUUUUUGGCUUGGAAAGAGCCAAUUUAUGCGAAAAUGCAUGAAAAAUAGUGUCAUAAGACUGCAUACUUU